rnacentral:rRNA from 1 species
UACAGAGGUCUCGAGCGUUGUUCGGAUUCAUUGGGCGUAAAGCGCACGCAGGCGGAUUGAUAAGUCAGGGGUGAAAUCCCGGGGCUCAACCUCGGAAUUGCCUUUGAUACUGUCUGUCUUGAGUUCGGGAGAGGUUGGCGGAAUUCCUAGUGUAGAGGUGAAAUUCGUAGAUAUUAGGAAGAACACCAGUGGCGAAGGCGGCCAACUGGCCCGAUACUGACGCUCAUGUGCGAAAGCGUGGGGAGCAAACAGG